rnacentral:misc_RNA from 1 species
GUUGACGUAUUAUUUUUUUUUUUAUUUUUUUUAUUUUCUUGCUUUUUGCAACCGCGGGACCGCGUUUCUGCGCUUCAGAUUGCGUUUUUCCGACUCCUUUGUUUGAUAUCGUGUCGUAUCGUCGUAUUUAUGUAGUUAUUAGGAACGGCAAGGCCUACGUUGUUGCGUCCUUUACCUGAAUAUCGUGACCGAAUCGAGUGUCGUCGAUUUGAAUCGUGUCUUGCGAACCAUCGUCGAACAAAAGGUGAUGGCUGGUCGUGGUUCAUCAGCGUUUGUUUUGAAACUGAUGGGUACCACAAGGCAUGAAGGAGGUGACUUGCAGCAGCAAGGCACUGCAAGCCUUCGCAGCAACUGGCUAGCCAGUGCUGCUCUGUUCUGAACUGCACUGCGUGUCAUGCGGAGGUUUUGUGCAAGCUCUCUGGGCGGUGACGCUAGCCACGGUUGGCUUCGUGGAUGCACAGAAAUACUCAAGGCGCUUGACGUCUGUGGCUCAUCUGUAUUGUUUUUCCCGGUACCACGGCAUGAAGGAGCUGGCCUCCCUCCCUUCCAUCAGCUGCGAGAUACUACAAGCAGUGGGCUACAGCUGCAGCUAGCCCAUGGGUACCGUUCUGCGUCCUGUACUGCAUCUAGUUCGAAAGGCCAUGUGAAAGGCAGGUACCGGGGACCAUGACAUCAGUGAGCUGGCUUUCACCUUGUCCAAGGCAGCAGCGGAACACUACGGGCGGGACCCUGGAUCACUGCACCAUGGAUGCCGUCCUGUACCCUGCACGGCACUGCGUGUGGCUUAAGUGGCCAAGCAGAGGGUCAUUGCAUGACUUUUAUGAGGCGCCGCUAGCCAUUGUUUCAAACCGUCCUGAAUCACGGACCAAGCCUUGCAAGACCUCACUCUUAUGCCCUCUCCUUUUUGGUGGAUCGGGUCUUGCCAUCUUCCCCUCUCGUGGCUCCCUGUCAUAAAUAAAUUGUAUAUUUUUCUGA